rnacentral:rRNA from 1 species
CAAAGAUUAAGCCAUGCAUGUCUAAGUACUAGCAUUAAUACUGUGAAACUGCGAAUGGCUCAUUAAAUCAGUUAUGAUCUACUUGGCAUUCUAACUGCUUUGCUGCUGGAUAACCGCGGUAAUUCUGGAGCUAAUACAUGUGUAUAUAACGGUCGACGCCGUUGCGUAUAUUAGAUAAAAACCAACCUGGGGUAAAACCUGGUCUUUGGUCGCUCAUAGUAUCCUUGCCGGUCUUCAGUUUAAUCUGGAGCCAGUUCAUUCGAUUUUCUGCCCUAUCAUUGCUUUUGAUUGCACGAUCGAGGCGUGCAAUGGCUUCUACGGGUAACGGGGAAUAAGGGUUCGAUUCCGGAGAGGGAGCCUGAGAAACGGCUACCACAUCCAAGGAAGGCAGCAGGCGCGCAAAUUACCCAAUCCCGACACGGGGGAGGUAGUGACAAAUAAAUAACAAUGGCAGGGCUUUAUAGUCUUGCAAAUUGGAAUGAGUACAAUUUAAAUCCUUUAACGAGGAUCAAUUGGAGGGCAAGUCUGGUGCCAGCAGCCGCGGUAAUUCCAGCUCCAAUAGCGUAUACUAAAGUUGUUGCAGUUAAAACGCCCGCAGUCGAAUUUUAGUCUGUAGGUGGCCAUAUCAGCAUUCAGUUGUUGAUGUUGGUUUAUCUGGGACUUUUGACUGGAUCUCCCUUGACUUCGGUCUUGGGGUCGAGCCAGUUGAUUACCAUGAGCAAAUCAGAGUGUUUAAAGCAGGCUUUUUAGCUUGAAUGUGUUAGCAUGGAAUAAUGAAAUAUGAUCUUUGGUCUAUUUUCGUUGGUUCAAGACCAAAAUAAUGAUGAAUAGGAGUGGUCGGGGGCAUUUGUAUUUGGGCGCUAGAGGUGAAAUUCUUGGAUUGCCCAAAGACAAACUACUGCGAAAGCAUUUGCCAAGGACGCUUCCGUUGAUCAGGGGCUAAGGUUAGGGGAUCGAAGACGAUUAGAUACCGUCGUAGUCUUAACAGCAAAACUAUGCCCGACUAGGGAUUUGGACUUGGCUCUUAUGGCUUUGUCCAGCACCUUAGCGAAAGCAAAGUUUUUGGGUUCUGGGGGGAGUACGGGACGCAAGGCUGAAACUUAAAGGAAUUGACGGAAGGGCACCACCAGGAGUGGAGCCUGCGGCUU